rnacentral:rRNA from 1 species
AACGAACGCUGGCGGCAGGCUUAACACAUGCAAGUCGAACGGGUGUAGCAAUACAUCAGUGGCAGACGGGUGAGUAACACGUGGGAACCUUCCUAGGGGUACGGAACAACUCAGGGAAACUUGAGCUAAUACCGUAUACGUCCGUGAGGAGAAAGAUUUAUCGCCCUUAGACGGGCCCGCGUCGGAUUAGCUAGUUGGUGGGGUAACGGCCUACCAAGGCGACGAUCCGUAGCUGAUCUUAGAGGAUGAUCAGCCACACUGGGACUGAGACACGGCCCAGACUCCUACGGGAGGCAGCAGUGGGGAAUCUUGGACAAUGGGCGCAAGCCUGAUCCAGCCAUGCCGCGUGAGUGAAGAAGGUCUUCGGAUUGUAAAGCUCUUUUGCCAGGGACGAUAAUGACGGUACCUGGAGAAUAAGCCCCGGCAAACUUCGUGCCAGCAG